rnacentral:rRNA from 1 species
CCUACGGGGGGCUGCAGUGAGGAAUAUUGGUCAAUGGGCGGGAGCCUGAACCAGCCAAGUCGCGUGAGGGACGACGGUCCUAUGGAUUGUAAACCUCUUUUGUCGGGGAACAAAGGCGCCCACGGGUGGGCGGAUGAGUGUACCCGAAGAAAAAGCAUCGGCUAACUCCGUGCCAGCAGCCGCGGUAAUACGGAGGAUGCGAGCGUUAUCCGGAUUUAUUGGGUUUAAAGGGUGCGUAGGCGGAACAUUAAGUCAGCGGUAAAAUCGAGGGGCUCAACCCCUUUAAGCCGUUGAAACUGGUGAUCUUGAGUGGGCGAGAGGUAUGCGGAAUGCGUGGUGUAGCGGUGAAAUGCAUAGAUAUCACGCAGAACUCCGAUUGCGAAGGCAGCAUACCGGCGCCCGACUGACGCUGAGGCACGAAAGCGUGGGUAUCGAACAGGAUUAGAUACCCGGGUAGUC